rnacentral:rRNA from 1 species
CAGCACCUCAAGUGGUCAGGAUGAUUAUUGGGCCUAAAGCAUCCGUAGCCGGCUCUGUAAGUUUUCGGUUAAAUCUGUACGCUCAACGUACAGGCUGCCGGGAAUACUGCAGAGCUAGGGAGUGGGAGAGGUAGACGGUACUCGGUAGGAAGGGGUAAAAUCCUUUGAUCUAUUGAUGACCACCUGUGGCGAAGGCGGUCUACCAGAACACGUCCGACGGUGAGGGAUGAAAGCUGGGGGAGCAAACCGGAUUAGAUACCCGAGUAGUCG